AAAAAUUUUGCUUUUUUGCUUUUUCUUAUAUGAAAAAGUAGUCAACAGAAAUGCUAAUUUAUCAUAUUUAUGAAUGAUUAUUGCCUUUUGAAAUUCAAGAUCUAAAAUCAAUCCCAGUUUCUCCAUUUCACAAAUCUGCCUUUAAUUAGCAAUUCCUUUAUUUCACUAGAUUUCCAUAUUUAACAUGAUAGGCUGACCUGCAAAUCCCAUGCAACAUGUUCCUCCAUUAAUUCAGGUGUCAGCUUCAUAAAAUAUAGAUAGUACUCGAACAAGGCUAUGGUGAGAUUAUGAUGGGCUGCACAUUCUGCUCUGUUGAAUAAUCAAAGUACAUUCAUUGAUUCAAAGCAGGGCAGAGCACUAUCAUUUUAUCAGACAAUUAUAUUCUUGGGUCUGCAAGAAAGGGGCAUUGCAAUUGAGUGCUUGAGAAUCAAUGCAGUCUUAAGAUUUGAAGCACUUAGUCUAUAAUUUAUUUUCUCUCUGACGCAUGUACUCUUUCGGCAACUAAUCUUUUAUUUUUAAUGCAGCUGCAAAUUAAAAUAAUGGCAGACUGAUCCCAACUUACAGUUUAUUGGAACUGAAAAAUGGGAACUUUGUGUUUUUAAUUUGUGAAGUAGGAGAUAGGGGAAGGCUAAAUUCUAAUACAGGGCUCUGUUUCCAGGAAACAUCCUCCUCCUCUGUGUACCCAUGUGAUGUUGCCCUUCUUUUUGCACAAAUAAAAUCCCUAAUUAUAUUUUUAAAUCCCAGGAUUUGAUCCGUAUUUUGAUGUACUUAAAAGGCGUCCCACACCGUCCAUUUUGGUCCUAUAAAUAUAUUAAAAAUAACUCAUCCGCAUAUACUUGCAACAUAGGCCAUGCUUUGACACAAUCCAUAACUUAAUUUUGUUAUUUUUCUUUAUCCGUUUUAUUCUCU
rnacentral:lncRNA from 1 species